rnacentral:rRNA from 1 species
GACGAACGCUGGCGGCGUGCCUAAUACAUGCAAGUCGACCUUAGUGGCGAACGGGUGAGUCAAACGUGGGUAAACUGCCCAUCAGAAGGGGAUAACACUUGGACACAGGUGAUAAUAACGUAUCCUGAUGGAUGGACCCGCGGUGCAUUAGCUAGGUGGUGAGGUAACGGCUCACCAAGGCCACGAUGCAUAGCCGACCGUAGAGGGUGAUCGGCCACAUUGGGACUGAGACACGGCCCCAACUCCGACGGGAGGCAGCAGUAGGGAAUCUUCGGCAAUGGACGAAAGUCUGACCGAGCAACGCCGCGUGAGUGAAGAAGGUUUUCGGAUCGUAAAACUCUGUUGUUAGAGAAGCGGUAUCUAACCAGAAAGCCACGGCUAACUACGGGCCAGCAGCCGCGGUAAUAC